rnacentral:rRNA from 1 species
CCUACGGGCGGCAGCAGUGGGGAAUAUUGGGCAAUGGGCGAAAGCCUGACCCAGCAACGCCGCGUGAAGGAAGAAGGCUUUCGGGUUGUAAACUUCUUUUGACAGGGAAGAGCAGUAGACGGUACCUGUCGUAUCAGCCACAGCUAACUACGUGCCAGCAGCCGCGGUAAUACGUAGGUAGCAACCGUGGUCCGGAUUUAGUGGGUCGCGAGGGCGUGUAGGCGGGACUGUAAGUCAGUUGUGAAAACCCCGGGCUCAACCUGUGGCCUGCAUUUGAAACUGUCGGGCUUGAGUAAGGGAGAGGCAGACGGAAUUCCUAGUGUAGCGGUGAAAUGCGUAGAUAUUAGGAGGAACACCAGUGGCGAAGGCAGUCUGCUGGACAGCAACUGACGCUGAGGCGCGAAAGCGUGGGGAGCAAACAGGAUUAGAUACCCCAGUAGUC